rnacentral:sRNA from 1 species
UAAAUAUAGUGUUUUAUUCGAUAAUAUAACUGCAUGUACAUCUUUAGAAGCCUCUUGCCUUGAAAUCGCACCGUCAAACUUAAAACUAUAACCUAUUAAAUCUGCUUGUGUGUCAUUACCACUCACAGCACAGCGAUUAAAUGAUGCAGUAAAACCAAAUCGUUUCAUACACUUUAACAUAACUACGACUGACAUUAACUGUGCAGAUGUACCUGAUUCUAUUUUUUCAAGAACAAAUUGUAAUAAUUGAUAGUUAUAUGGUGCAAUGUCACCUUCAUCCAUUGAGCGCUCAAUAGUUUCAGCUGCCAGAGAGGCAUAACUGCUUACGUAAAGGUCCAUUUGUAAUUUAUAAUGUUGACUAAUAAC